rnacentral:rRNA from 1 species
UACGUAGGGGGCGAGCGUUGUCCGGAUUUAUUGGGCGUAAAGAGCGUGUAGGCGGCCAAACAGGUCCGUUGUGAAAACUGGAGGCUCAACCUCCAGACGUCGACGGAAACCGUGUGGCUAGAGUCCGGAAGAGGAGAGUGGAAUUCCUGGUGUAGCGGUGAAAUGCGCAGAUAUCAGGAAGAACACCCGUGGCGAAGGCGGCUCUCUGGGACGGUACUGACGCUGAGGAGCGAAAGCGUGGGGAGCGAACAGG